rnacentral:rRNA from 1 species
UACGGAGGGGGCUAGCGUUGUUCGGAAUUACUGGGCGUAAAGCGCACGUAGGCGGCUUUGUAAGUUAGAGGUGAAAGCCCGGGGCUCAACUCCGGAAUUGCCUUUAAGACUGCAUCGCUCGAAUUGUAGAGAGGUAAGUGGAAUUCCGAGUGUAGAGGUGAAAUUCGUAGAUAUUCGGAAGAACACCAGUGGCGAAGGCGACUUACUGGACACAUAUUGACGCUGAGGUGCGAAAGCGUGGGGAGCAAACAGG